UAGCUGCAGUAUUUUGACUGUACAAAGGUAGCAUAAUCAUUAGUCUUUUAAUUGAAGGCUGGUAUGAAUGGCUUGACGGAAAAUAUACUUUUUUAUUUUUAUUAAAUUGAAUUUAAUAUUUAAGUUAAAAAGCUUAAAUUUUUGAAAGGGACGAGAAGACCCUAUAGAAUUUUAUAAUUAAUUAUGAAAUUAAUAUUAUUUAAUUGGGGUGAUUGAAGAUUAACUUUUUUUUUUAUUUCAUUUUUUAUGAUUGCUUGAUCCUAAAUUUUAGAUAAAAAGAUAAAAUUACCUUAGGGAUAACAGCAUAAUUUUUUUUAAAAGAUCUUAUUAAUAAAAAAGAUUAUGACCUCGAUGUUGAAUUAAGAUAAUAUUUAGGUGUAGAAGUUUAAAUAUUUAGUCUGUUCGACUUGAAUUUUUACAUGAUUUGAGUUCAAACCGGCGUGAGCCAGGUUGGUUUCUAUCUUUUCAAAUUUU
rnacentral:rRNA from 1 species